AGACGGAGGGUGCAAACGUUGUUCGGAAUCACUGGGCAUAAAACGCACGUAGGCGGUUCGUAAAGUCAGGUGUGAAAUCCCUCGGCUCAACCGGGGAACUGCAUCUGAUACUGGCGAACUCGAGGAUGGUAGGGGUGAGCGGAACUCCAGGUGGAGCGGUGAAAUGCGUAGAUAUCUGGAGGAACACCGGUGGCGAAGGCGGCUCACUCGACCAUCUCUGACGCUGAGGUGCGAAAGCCAGGGUAGCAAACGGGAUUAGAAACCCCAGUAGUCC
rnacentral:rRNA from 1 species